UACAGAGGUCUCAAGCGUUGUUCGGAUUCAUUGGGCGUAAAGGGCGCGUAGGCGGCGUGUUAAGUCACUUGUGAAAUCUCUAAGCUUAACUUAGAACGGUCAAGUGAUACUGAUGUGCUAGAGUGCAGAAGGGGCAACCGGAAUUCUUGGUGUAGCGGUGAAAUGCGUAGAUAUCAAGAGGAACACCUGAGGUGAAGACGGGUUGCUGGGCUGACACUGACGCUGAGGCGCGAAAGCGUGGGGAGCAAACAGG
rnacentral:rRNA from 1 species